GUAGUCCACGCCCUAAACGAUGUCUACUAGUUGUCGGGUUUUAAUUAACUUGGUAACGCAGCUAACGCGUGAAGUAGACCGCCUGGGGAGUACGGUCGCAAGAUUAAAACUCAAAGGAAUUGACGGGGACCCGCACAAGCGGUGGAUGAUGUGGAUUAAUUCGAUGCAACGCGAAAAACCUUACCUACCCUUGACAUGUACGGAAGGCCGAAGAGAUUUGGCUGUGCUCGAAAGAGAGCCGUAACACAGGUGCUGCAUGGCUGUCGUCAGCUCGUGUCGUGAGAUGUUGGGUUAAGUCCCGCAACGAGCGCAACCCUUGUCAUUAGUUGCUACGAAAGGGCACUCUAAUGAGACUGCCGGUGACAAACCGGAGGAAGGUGGGGAUGACGUCAAGUCCUCAUGGCCCUUAUGGGUAGGGCUUCACACGUCAUACAAUGGUACAUACAGAGCGCCGCCAACCCGCGAGGGGGAGCUAAUCGCAGAAAGUGUAUCGUAGUCCGGAUUGUAGUCUGCAACUCGACUACAUGAAGUUGGAAUCGCUAGUAAUCGCGGAUCAGCAUGUCGCGGUGAAUACGUUCCCGGGUCUUGUACACACCGCCCGUCACACCAUGGGAGCGGGUUUUACCAGAAGUAGGUAGCUUAACCGCAAGGAGGGCGCUA
rnacentral:rRNA from 1 species